UGCAGUCAGGCCUCAAGACAUUGAGCCACCGGAUGGGACUAGACGGUGCUGCCUGCGCGUCCCCCCCUUUGAUCAAGCUAGAUGGUCAGUAGGGGU
rfam:Marisma mosquito virus strain HT4528/07, complete genome